rnacentral:ncRNA from 2 species
UAUAUCACUACGUUUUACGAGUAUGCUUACUGUAUUCGGAGGAAUACUGGUGCAAAUCCAGUGCUGGCCCGCAACCGUAAUGUUUGAAUUCUUUAAAUCAUAUUAGAAUUCUCUAAGUCGGAUACUCCUCUUUAAAAACACUCUCGU